rnacentral:rRNA from 1 species
CCUACGGGGGGCUGCAGUGGGGAAUAUUGGACAAUGGGGGCAACCCUGAUCCAGCCAUGCCGCGUGUGUGAAGAAGGCCCUCGGGGUGUAAAGCACUUUCAGUGAGGAAGAACGCCUGGUGGUUAAUACCCAUCAGGAAAGACAUCACUCACAGAAGAAGCACCGGCUAACUCCGUGCCAGCAGCCGCGGUAAUACGGAGGGUGCGAGCGUUAAUCGGAAUUACUGGGCGUAAAGCGCGCGUAGGUGGCUUGAUAAGCCGGUUGUGAAAGCCCCGGGCUCAACCUGGGAACGGCAUCCGGAACUGGCAAGCUAGAGUGCAGGAGAGGAAGGUAGAAUUCCCGGUGUAGCGGUGAAAUGCGUAGAGAUCGGGAGGAAUACCAGUGGCGAAGGCGGCCUUCUGGACUGACACUGACACUGAGGUGCGAAAGCGUGGGUAGCAAACAGGAUUAGAUACCCCUGUAGUC